rnacentral:RNase_P_RNA from 2 species
GAAGCCCACCAGACCGCCGCUGGCGCAAGGCCCGAAAGGGCGCGCUGGAGGAACGUCCGGACUGCACAGGGCAGCGCAGCAGGUAACACCUGUCCACCGUGAGGUGAGGAUCAGAGCAACAGAGACGAGCCGCUUGAGUGCGGGUGAAACGGGCAAUCUCUGCGCGCAGCAACACCAAGUAGGCACACGUUGACGGGGCCCCCGGAGUGUGCGGGUAGGUGGCACCGAGCCGGGUGGGCGACCCCCGGCCCAGAUUGAUGGCGGUCACGCCGCGGGCAACCGCGGUGCACAGAAUCCGGCGUAUCGGUGGGCUUCACAC